rnacentral:lncRNA from 1 species
GGAUAGAGGUCCACUGACGCUUGAGCUGAGCUUCCCCGUUGCACAGAAACAUUUCUGUUCCUUUAGUCAUUCAACAAACCUUGAUUGAGCCCCUCCUUUGUGCCAGGCACUGCGCUGGGAGCUAGGAAUACGGCUGUGAACCAAAGUCCUGCCUGCAUGGAGCUUACAGUGUGAUGGACGGCUCUGGCGACAGGGACCAACAAAGCAAUGCAAAAGAUCAGGGGGCCCCAGUGCUCUGAUGGAAACCACAGUGGGGAACCUUCCAUGCAGGUAGUCUGGGGUGAUGGAAUGCCACAGAAGAGAGAUGCCCAGCAAGGCCGGAGCAGAGGCCCACGGCACGGCCAGACACUGGGAUGAGCUGGGGAGGUGGCCUGCUCAAAACUGAGACUUGAGAAGAAUCUCUCUUAAAAGAGAGGCCCAAUCUUCCUUGGCUAUGGGGGCGCAGAGGAGGGGUGACAGCUAGCUGAAGGGAUCUGGUGGCUUCAGAGGACACGGCACGAGCAAGUGGUUGGGACUCUGGCUUCAGAGCUCAGCAGACUCGGGUUCAAGUUCCGGUAUCCAGCGCGUGCUCACUGGGUCUCCUUGGGGAGUCGCUUAACUUCUUGGAGUCUGUGAAGUGAGGACGCUGAGAGUACCUUCCUCGUAGGGGUGAGAAGAAUGGGUGGAAUCAUUCAGGGAAAGGAGUGCUGGGCACACCGGCUGGCA